ACGCUGGCGGCGUGCCUAACACAUGCAAGUCGAACGGAGUGAUGACUUCGGUUAUCACUUAGUGGCGAACGGGUGAGUAACGCGUGAGGAACCUGCCUCUCAGUGGGGGACAACAGUUGGAAACGACUGCUAAUACCGCAUAACACUUUAGUACCGCAUGGUACAGAAGUCAAAGCUUAAUGUGCUGAGAGAUGGUCUCGCGUCUGAUUAGCUAGAUGGCGGGGUAACGGCCACCAUGGCGACGAUCAGUAGCCGGUCUGAGAGGAUGAACGGCCACAUUGGGACUGAGAUACGGCCCAGACUCCUACGGGAGGCAGCAGUGGGGAAUAUUGGGCAAUGGGGGAAACCCUGACCCAGCAACGCCGCGUGAAGGAAGAAGGCCUUCGGGUUGUAAACUUCUUUUAGCAGGGACGAAGAACGUGACGGUACCUGCAGAAAAGCAACGGCUAACUACGUG
rnacentral:rRNA from 1 species